UGAUUUUCAAGUUGAUAAUGUUGUAUGGCCCACGGAUGAUGUGAUAAAUAUCCGAAUGGCCCUGGGCAGAAGAAAGGUUCCCCACCCCUGGUUUAGGGUCUUG